rnacentral:rRNA from 1 species
GACGAACGCUGGCGGCGUGCCUAAUACAUGCAGGUAGAACGCACAGUUUAUACCGUAGCUUGCUACACCAUAGACUGUGAGUUGCGAACGGGUGAGUAACGCGUAGGUAACCUGCCUGGUAGCGGGGGAUAACUAUUGGAAACGAUAGCUAAUACCGCAUAAUAUUAAUUAUUGCAUGAUAAUUGAUUGAAAGAUGCAACUGCAUCACUACCAGAUGGACCUGCGUUGUAUUAGCUAGUAGGUGAGGUAACGGCUCACCUAGGCGACGAUACAUAGCCGACCUGAGAGGGUGAUCGGCCACACUGGGACUGAGACACGGCCCAGACUCCUACGGGAGGCAGCAGUAGGGAAUCUUCGGCAAUGGACGAAAGUCUGACCGAGCAACGCCGCGUGAGUGAAGAAGGUUUUCGGAUCGUAAAGCUCUGUUGUAAGAGAAGAACGGGUGUGAGAGUGGAAAGUUCACACUGUGACGGUAUCUUACCAGAAAGGGACGGCUAACUACGUG